GGGAGACAUCAGACCUGUUCGCCCAGAUCCAAAAUCCGAAACUUGUCUAGAUUGUAGAAGCAGGCCUUGACGACUCGCCCGCCGAAGUAACGUCCGUUCAGAUCCACCACGGCUGCGGAGGAGAGAGACAGUUGAGGCUUUACAAAAGGUCGAACGAGUUGGAGAAGCCUCACUGGGGGCUGUCUUUGGGGUUGUGUACCAAGACAACAAGAGAGCGCUGACCUUUGAUGGCUGACUCCACCCUCUCAAACUCCAGAAAUAUCCUGACGGCUUCAUCAUCUGGAACAUCUGCAAUCUGAGAAGGAAAGUGUGUUUUUGUGACUGUCCUGUCUGAUUAUUUGAAGUUCAUCAAGUCGAGCCCAGUGACUCAAGUCUCUCACCUCAAAAAUGACACAUUUAACCACUUUGCCAUAUUUCUCGCACUCUUCUUUCGUCUCUCCCUCCAGGUCUUCAUCCACCUCUCCUCGGCCCACCAUGUUCUGUAAGACAGACCCACAUACAUCAGGCUUCUGGCCGGGCUCAAACAACAGUUCUGCUGAAAAUAAAGCAGCGAUGAUGAUCCUGACAUUCAACCAUGACAUCUAGUGGCCAAAAGCAACCACCGCUCUCAGAAAGAAGCAAAGGAAAAAGUCUACUGUCUGCAUUUCAAAGGUAAGCAUCUUACUGGGCCAUUUCAUCUACAAGUUACGUGUGUUUACACACUUCAGCUAUGAGAUAACAGCUGGUGCAGCUGAUAAACAGCCUUUCUCAUGUUAUUAUAUCACUGGCAACAGAAAGAAAUUAGAAAAGUGUGAAUUCUAAUUUUCAUAA